rnacentral:rRNA from 1 species
UACGUAGGGUGCGAGCGUUGCCCGGAUUUAUUGGGCGUAAAGGGCGCGCAGGCGGCCACGCACGUCCGUUGUGAAAUCGCCCGGCUCAACUGGGCGGGGUCGGCGGAUACGGCGUGGCUGGAGCAAGCUAGGGGGUAGUGGAAUUCCCGGUGUAGUGGUGGAAUGCGUAGAUAUCGGGAGGAACACCAGUGGCGAAGGCGGCUACCUGGACGGUUUCUGACACUAAGACUCGAAAGCGUGGGGAGCAAACAGG